UAUGAGGGGCCCACCACAAUCCAGCGUUUGAUACAUUUGUGCUGUUUUCCUAAUGAUCCGGGUUUAAUCUUUUCGACCCGGCUUUGUUCCCUGUUGGGGUUGGAAAAAAGGCUAAAAAUAGUCCGUCACUUUCUUAUGGAUUAUAAACCUUAGUCACCGCCUCCAUCUGGAUUAAGGAGCAAAAUGGCUACCGUGCCCCUCCAAUCUGCAAUUUCCACAUCCAAACUUGGAGAGUAAGGAGGCGAUUUAAUUGCUGCAUACGAACCAGCUUGUAAGCAUUCGCCGGCGCAAUUGGGGGUUCUGCGAGUUGCAGAUUAGGGGAUACAAACCUUCUCGAGGGCUAUGGCGAACAGGAUUACAAAAAGUGUUGCCACGCUUCAGCAAGUGGAAGAAAUGGUCCAAACCCUACAAUUUGAUGUAAGCAUUGCUAUUUUGUUGUACCUGAGAAGGAACCGACGGCGUGUGCGUGUGAGUACUCUGCUAAGACGGGCUCGAUUUGGUCGUCGGAAUCGAAUUCCUGCACAAGUGAGGCACCUAAAUCGGCUUAAGGGAGUAUCAGAUAUUGCAUGUUUUGAUAAUCUUCGUAUGGAUCGAAACACAUUUGGACGAUUGUGCUUUCUUCUACGCCAAACAGGGGAGUUAGUCGAUGGUAAGUAUGUGAAGAUAGAAGAACAAGUUGCCAUGUUCUUGUCAGUUCUUGCACACCACAAAAAGAACAGAAUAGUUAAAUUUGACUUCUUGAGGUCCGGGUUCACAGUUUCUAAGUAUGUUCAUGCUGUGCUACGGGCGGUGCUUCGGCUCCAUCGGUCGUUUCUCGUUGUUCCUGAUCCCGUGGCUGAAGACUGCAACGAUAACAGGUGGAAGUGGUUCAAGGUAUUCCCAAAAAUAUGUACAAAUUUUGGUUGAUUUAUGUGUAUAUGGUGGCCUUUGUAAUUGCCACGUGGAUGUUAUAUUGAUUUAUGUGUAUAUGGAGGCCUUUGUAAUUGCUAUGUGGGUGUUAUAUUGAUUUAUGUGUAUACGGAGGCCUCUGUCUCCGUUGCUAUGCGAAAGUUUGAGUGAUAAUGUUGUUGUAGGGGUGACUUGGUGCAUUAGAUGGAACACACAUAAAUUUACAGGUGCUCAACGCCGAUAAGCCUCGUUAUCGUAGCAGGAAAGGUCAAAUUUGCACCAACACUCUUGCGGUCUGUGAUCGGCGGAUGCGAUUUGUAUAUGUCUUGACGGGCUGGGAGGGCUCAGCUGGAGACAGUCGUGUGCUACGCGAUGCUUUGAGUCGUGAUUAGGGAUUGAGAGUACCGAAAGGCAACUACUACCUAUGUGACAAUGGUUAUGCAAACUGUGAGGGGUUCCUAACACCCUAUAAAGGAGUCCGUUACCAUUUAAAAGAAUGGGGUCCUGCAACGGAAGCCCCAAAAAACCCCCAGGAAAUUUUCAACAUGUAUCACACUCGAGCAAGGAAUGUGAUUGAACGUGCGUUUGCCGUACUGAAAAUGCGGUGGGGGAUCUUGAGAAGUGCCUCAUUUUAUCCAGUCGGGGUCCAAACUAAUAUCAUACUUGCUUGCUUCUUGCUCCAUAAUUUUAUACGCUCUGAGAUGGAAUCGGACCCGAUUGAGCUGGCUGUCGCUAACGAAGAAGAUGGAAAUGAAGAAGAUGUGCAGGAUGGUGAUUUCGUGGCUGGUGUAGAACCUUCCCAAGGCUGGACCAAUGCACGUGAUGCUAUGGCAGCGUCAAUGUGGGCUGCGUACAUGGGAGAAGAUGCAUAAGAAUCAAUAGAAUUUGCGGCAUGAAGCUUCACUUUUUGGACUAGAACCGUGUAUUUUUUAAGUUUGUGGAGAAAAUGUAAUCAUAUGCUUGUAUCACUAUUCUGUACUAUGUUUUAUUGACAUAUUUGGAUUUGUGGUUUUAUGUUUGAUGGCUGAUCCGUAUUUGGAGUGGUGCUCUACAAAUUAAACAAGCAAUAUUUAAUUA